rnacentral:lncRNA from 10 species
ACAAAACAUCAAGCCAACAGUUCAGGACUAGUCAUUCAAAUGGACUAAAGGUGGGGGAGAAAAAAUAAGAGUGGAUAAAAGAAAGAAAGAAAACAGAGAAAGGUGGGAAAAAAAAAACAAAGGAAGGAAGAGAGAAAAGAGAAUGAGAGGAAGAGAAGGAAGGGGAAAAACAAGAUUGACUUUACAGUAUGAGAUAUACUAUUAUAUAUUGGACCCUUGGUGGGCAGUGCCUAAACAGAGACAACUACAGGUUUCUGGCUGUGGCCACUCUCUGGUGAAACUAAGGGGUUUCUGUGUGGAGGUGCCUAACAGCCACCGUCCAGUUUGGUAGUAUGAUGCCUCUGGCUUCCCUCUAUCACACGUCUUCUUUUCGAGUAAAGGUUUUUCAUAAAUGUGAGCGUGGAAGAAGAAACCAGUUAAAUAUGGAACUUCACACCAGGACACAAAAGGACUUCAAACUUUUAGAUUCCACAAGUAUGUGAAAAGAUGCAGUAUUUGUCUUUCUGUGCAUGGUUUACUUCACUUAUCAUCAUGUCCCUCAGGUUCAUCCACGUUGUUGCAAAUGACAGGAUUUCAUUCAUUUUUAAGACUGAAUAGUACUCCAUUAUGCAAAUAUACCAGAUUUUCAUUGUCUAUUCGUUCACUGAUGAACACGGGUUAAUCCUAUAUGUUGGCUAUUGUGAAUAAAGCUGCAAUGAAUAUGAGAGUACAGAUAUAUUCUUGACAUAUUAAUUUUAUUUUAUUUGGCAAUAUACCCAAUAGUAGCUAGAUCAUAUCAGAGUUCUAUUUUUAAUUUUUGAGGAAACUUCAUACUGUUUUUCAUAAUAGUUAUUACUAAUUUACACUCAGUAUACAAGAGUUCCCUUUUCUCCACAUUCUUUCCAAAAUUUGUUUCCUUUUCCCUUUUUGAUAACAGCUACUCUAACUGGGGUGAAAUAAUAUCUCACUGUGGUUUUAAUUUUCAUUUAUCUGAUUAAUGAUUUUGAGCUUUUUAAAAUAAAUACUUGUUGGCAAUUUGUAUGUCAUCUUUUGAGAAGUGUCUAUUAAAAU